UACGAAGGUCCCAAGCGUUGUUCGGAAUCACUGGGCGUAAAGGGAGCGUAGGCGGCGUGGUAAGUCAGAUGUGAAAUCCCGGGGCUCAACCCCGGACUUGCAGUGGGUACGGGCAGACUAGAGUGUGGUAGGGGAGACUGGAAUUCCUGGUGUAGCGGUGAAAUGCGCAGAUAUCGGGAAGAACACCUAUGGCGAAGGCAGCUCUCUGGGACGGUACUGACGCUGAGACGCGAAAGCGUGGGGAGCGAACAGG
rnacentral:rRNA from 1 species